rnacentral:rRNA from 1 species
UGGGGAAUAUUGCACAAUGGAGGAAACUCUGACGCAGCAACGCCGCGUGAGUGAAGAAGGUUUUCGGAUCGUAAAGCUCUGUCUUUGGGGAAGAUAAUGACGGUACCCAAGGAGGAAGCCACGGCUAACUACGUGCCAACAGCCGCGGUAAUACGUAGGUGGCGAGCGUUAUCCGGAUUUACUGGGCGUAAAGGGAGCGUAGGCGGAUGAUUAAGUGGGAUGUGAAAUACCCGGGCUCAACUUGGGUGCUGCAUUCCAAACUGGUUAUCUAGAGUGCAGGAGAGGAGAGUGGAAUUCCUAGUGUAGCGGUGAAAUGCGUAGAGAUUAGGAAGAACACCAGUGGCGAAGGCGACUCUCUGGACUGUAACUGACGCUGAGGCUCGAAAGCGUGGGGAGCAAACA